rnacentral:rRNA from 1 species
GAGCUUGCUCCCUGAUGUUAGCGGCGGACGGGUGAGUAACACGUGGGUAACCUGCCUGUAAGACUGGGAUAACUCCGGGAAACCGGGGCUAAUACCGGAUGGUUGUUUGAACCGCAUGGUUCAAACAUAAAAGGUGGCUUYGGCUACCACUUACAGAUGGACCCGCGGCGCAUUAGCUAGUUGGUGAGGUAACGGCUCACCAAGGCAACGAUGCGUAGCCGACCUGAGAGGGUGAUCGGCCACACUGGGACUGAGACACGGCCCAGACUCCUACGGGAGGCAGCAGUAGGGAAUCUUCCGCAAUGGACGAAAGUCUGACGGAGCAACGCCGCGUGAGUGAUGAAGGUUUUCGGAUCGUAAAGCUCUGUUGUUAGGGAAGAACAAGUACCGUUCGAAUAGGGCGGUACCUUGACGGUACCUAACCAGAAAGCCACGGCUAACUACGUGCCAGCAGCCGCGGUAAUACGUAGGUGGCAAGCGUUGUCCGGAAUUAUUGGGCGUAAAGGGCUCGCAGGCGGUUUCUUAAGUCUGAUGUGAAAGCCCCCGGCUCAACCGGGGAGGGUCAUUGGAAACUGGGGAACUUGAGUGCAGAAGAGGAGAGUGGAAUUCCACGUGUAGCGGUGAAAUGCGUAGAGAUGUGGAGGAACACCAGUGGCGAAGGCGACUCUCUGGUCUGUAACUGACGCUGAGGAGCGAAAGCGUGGGGAGCGAACAGGAUUAGAUACCCUGGUAGUCCACGCCGUAAACGAUGAGUGCUAAGUGUUAGGGGGUUUCCGCCCCUUAGUGCUGCAGCUAACGCAU